GACGGAGGGUGCAAGCGUUGCUCGGAAUCAUUGGGCGUAAAGGGUGCGUAGGCGGAUAGUUCAGUUGGGGGUGAAAGCCCGGGGCUCAACCUCGGAACUGCCUUCAAUACUGGCUAUCUUGAGUACGGGAGAGGUGUGUGGAACUCCGAGUGUAGAGGUGAAAUUCGUAGAUAUUCGGAAGAACACCAGUGGCGAAGGCGACACACUGGCCCGUACUGACGCUGAGGCGCGAAAGCGUGGGGAGCAAACAGG
rnacentral:rRNA from 1 species